GACGAACGCUGGCGGCGUGCUUAACACAUGCAAGUCGAACGAAGUGGCGAACGGGUGAGUAACGCGUAAUCAACCUGCCCAUCAGAGGGGGACAACAGUUGGAACCGACUCCUAAUACCCCAUACUGAAGGAGGGGAUUGCGUCUGAUUAGCUAGUUGGAGGGGUAACGGCCCACCAAGGCGAUGAUCAGUAGGCGGUCGGGGAGGAAGGACGGCCACAAUGGGACUGGAACACGGCCCAGACUCCUACGGGGGGCAGCAGUGGGGAAUCUUCCGAAAUGGACGGAAGUCUGACGGAGGAACGCCGCGGGAGUGGUGACGGCCGUCGGGUUGGAAAGCUCUGUUAAUCGGGACGCGGUACCGGAAUAGAAAGCCACGGCUAACUACGUGCCAGCAGCCGCGGUAAUUC
rnacentral:rRNA from 1 species